rnacentral:rRNA from 1 species
CAAGUCGAGCGGUAACAGGUGUAGCAAUACAUGCCUGACGAGCGGCAGACGGGUGAGGAACACGCUACGCAACUUUCCUUAAACCGGGGCACAACCCUUGAGAAAUCAGGGCUAAUUCCCCAUAACAUUGCGAGAGGGCAUCUGAUUGCAAUUAAAGAUUCGUCGGUUUGAGAUGGGCGUGCGUUCGAUUAGCUAGUUGGUAGGGUAACGGCUUACCAAGGCAACGAUCGAUAGCUGGUGUGAGAGCACGACCAGCCACACGGGCACUGAGAUACGGGCCCGACUCCUACGGGAGGCAGCAGUAAGGAAUAUUGGUCAAUGGACGAAAGUCUGAACCAGCCAUGCCGCGUGAGGGAUGAAGGUCCUCUGGAUUGUAAACCUCUUUUAUCUAUGAAGAAAUGUCCUGUUUCUACGGGAUUUGACGGUAAUAGAUGAAUAAGCACCGGCUAACUCCGUGCCAGCAGCCGCGGUAAUACGGAGGGUGCAAGCGUUAUCCGGAUUUACUGGGUUUAAAGGGUGCGUAGGUGGGUUGGGAAGUCANUGGUGAAAUACUUUCACUUAACGAAGGAACUGCCAUUGAUACUAUCAAUCUUGAAUACAGUGGAGGUAGGCCGAAUGCGUCAUGUAACGGUGAAAUGCUUACAUAUGACGCA